rnacentral:rRNA from 1 species
GUAAGGAAUAUUGGUCAAUGGACGAAAGUCUGAACCAGCCAUGCCGCGUGAAGGAUGAAGGCCCUCUGGGUUGUAAACUUCUUUUAUCUGGGACGAAAAAAGGGUAUUCUUACUCACUUGACGGUACCAGAGGAAUAAGCACCGGCUAACUCCGUGCCAGCAGCCGCGGUAAUACGGAGGGUGCAAGCGUUAUCCGGAUUCACUGGGUUUAAAGGGUGCGUAGGUGGGUAUUUAAGUCAGUGGUGAAAUCUCCGAGCUUAACUCGGAAACUGCCAUUGAUACUAUUUACCUUGAAUGACCUGGAGGUAAGCGGAAUAUGUCAUGUAGCGGUGAAAUGCUUAGAUAUGACAUAGAACACCAAUUGCGAAGGCAGCUUACUACGGGGUGAUUGACACUGAGGCACGAAAGCGUGGGGAGCAAACAGGAUUAGAAACCCCUGUAGUCC